rnacentral:rRNA from 1 species
GACGAACGCUGGCGGCGUGCCUAACACAUGCAAGUCGAAGAUAGUGGCGAACGGGUGAGUAAUACGUGGGUAACCUGCCCUACUUUUUGGGAUAAGCUUUGGCAACGGGGCCUAAUACUGAACAUAGGGGGAGGGGCUCGCGGCCGAUCAGCUUGUUGGUGGGGUGAUGGCCUACGAAGGCGGUGACGGGUAGCCGGCCUGCGGGGAGGACCGGCCAGAUUGGGACUGAGAACCGGCCCAGACUCCUACGGGUGGGAGCAGUGGGGGAUGUGGCACAAGGGGCGAAAGCCUAAUGCGGGGACGCCGCGUGGGGGAUGGAGGCUUUCGGGUUGUGAGCCUCUUUCGCUAACGAACGGGUAGGUGAAGAAGAGGCGCCGGCUAACUACGUGCCAGCGGCGGCGGGAAAG